GCAAUGUUCCACCUGGAGAGGUUUUUAAUACUAUACAUUUGCAUCAGUGACACCUGUACAGGUUGGCUUAGCUCGAGCACGAGGUCUACGAACUGAUGUCUUCGAGCGAGACUCGAAAAGAAAUCCAACUCUAUCGACUAAGAUCUUUAUCUCGCUAUUUUUUCUCUGUGGAGACAUCCAACUAAAUCCCGGACUAAUCAAGGACCCAUGUGGAAUAUGUUUGAAAUCGGUUAAGGCAAAUCAACGUGAAAUUCAAUGUGAUUCAUGUGAUGUUUGGUACCACGUGCGAUGCAUGAAGAUGAACAUUCAUAUAUACGAAGCUCUGGCUAAUUCAUCUUGUGUAUGGGAAUGUGAUAAUUGCAGUCUACCGAAUUUUUCCAGUUCCCUAUUUGAUUCAUACGAUGAUAGUACCUAUACCAACAGGUUUUCGCCGCUCUUUGGUCUAGCAGACUCCUUCGAUAAAUCCCUGUCAGAUCCAACUACACAUGUAAACAUUUCCACCACUGUUAAUGUCUCCUUUCAACCAAAACAAACCUCUAGUCCUAAACCAUCCAAAAAACAGUUACCAUCAUCUAAACCUACAUUAGGAAACAAAGAAUAUCAAG